rnacentral:rRNA from 1 species
GACGGGGGGGGGCUAGCGUUGCUCGGAAUCACUGGGCGUAAAGCGCACGUAGGCGGACUCUUAAGUCGGUGGUGAAAUCCUGGAGCUCAACUCCAGAACUGCCUUCGAUACUGAGAGUCUCGAGUCCGGGAGAGGUGAGUGGAACUGCGAGUGUAGAGGUGAAAUUCGUAGAUAUUCGCAAGAACACCAGUGGCGAAGGCGGCUCACUGGCCCGGUACUGACGCUGAGGUGCGAAAGCGUGGGGAGCAAACAGG